UUUCCUGAUGGGACUCUAUUCUGGUUUCUGUUUUUCUCUGGGUUGACAGAGAAAGAGGAGAUGGCUUCUACGUCAUGGGGUUUUCCCAGCAAUUAGCCUCGAAGCAAACAGACAGCGAACUGGGACUUAAUGAGUUCCUUCCCGCCCUGCUCCUUCCCCAUCCCGCUUGGUUAGCUGCCAGCCAGGGUUAGAGCUGGACACGGUCCCUGUAGUACAGCCUCCUCCAACUGUGAGGGAUGGGAGACCAUGAGAACCGGGCACCAGGCUGGCAGACACCAGUUCCCAGUUAGUCAUCUCUGGCCUUGACUCCACAAAGCCCUUUCUUCAUCCAGUAACGCCUAGGCCCUGCCUGGGAGGGGACAAGGGGCCAGCACCAGUUGUUCAGACCUGAGUUCCUUACCGCCCUUGUGCAACAAGGAGGCUGGGACAAAUAAAUACAACUUGUAUCCCCCUUGCCACCCGAAAGACCUUUAUUCUAGAAUUUCCCCAAAGCCCUGGCUGAGCACACAGCAGCUUGUGCGAGCUGAGAAAUGUGACGGAUAGCUUGGCUGCGAGGGACAGCUGCAGAGCCUGGCGAGGGAAGCCGGAGGUAAUUGUCACCGUCCCACCCCAUUCUAGGAACUGCCACACUUCCUCCAUUUAAUCCCUCCACACCCUCAAGACAGCAAAAGAUCACCAGAUACAAGGACACAUUCCCAGCGAGAAGGGAAGCCGAGCCUUUCCCACGAGCACUGGUACUUCCUCGUUCCCUUUUCAGCCUCCUUAAACCCCACACUCCCCAGAUACCACGCACAGCCCUCAGGAUUCUGCCUGCCGAGACAUAGGACCUCUGUGGGAGGAUUGAAGCAGCCAGAGGCCAGGGUGACGGGGACUCCGGGAUCUUCUGCAUAGACAGAAGGCAGGGAGCUGGUCCCCGUGGCCGCUAGCAUCGUUCCUCACCGUCCACUGCAGUGCUCCGAGGAGCGUGGAGGCCAAGAACAGACAGGAAGGAAGAAGAAAGCUGCUCCUUGUGUUGCUAAGCCCAGGAUGCACACUGAUUGGACGAUAUUCCAAGGCCAGGCUGGAUCAGCGACAGCCAGGACUGAGCAUCCACAGUUUCCGCUAUCACAGCCUACACGGACUCCUGAGCCCCAGAUCCCUCUUUGGUGUCUCACAAGGCAUCUCAGACUUAACAUAGGCAAACUAGACCUCGUCCUCAAACAUCACAGCCAUCCAGUCCAUGCACUUACUCCAGCAAGAAACGUGAGGAUCCUGGUUCCCUGUCCUGGCCAAGGACUUCCAUCAGUCUCAAAAACACACCUAGACUCCAUUCAUUGCUGGUCCUUUGCCCACCCUCCCCCACCCCCGCCUCAUCUCUUGCAUGGUGAUAGCACACUUAUCUCUAUUUCCGUUCUUGAAGCUAAUUUACCUUGCUGUCCUGAGUUUGUUUUUAUAUACAUAUGUAUGCAUGGUGUGUGUGUGUGUGUGUGUGUGUGUGUGUGUGUGUGUGUGUGUAUGAACAAUCAUGCAUGUGCACCUGUGGAUGUCUGAGGUUGACACCUGGAGUCUUCUAUAGUUCUCCACCUUUGAUGGACUUGCGUUCCUGUCUCUGAGUCUGUGCCUGUUUCUUUGGCUUCUGUUUGUCUGUUUGUUUUGUCCUAUUCUGGUUUGUUCGUUUUAUUGUAUCAUAUUGCAUUUUACUUUUUUUUAAAGAUGGCUACUUGUUUUCUAAUGAGAGAGAGAAAGAAAGGGUGUGGAUUUGAGUGGGUGGGGAGGUUGGGGAGCAUCAGGGAGGAGUUGGGGGAGGAGGAAAAACCUUGAUAAAAAUAUAGUAUAUGAAAAAAAUCUACUUUUAAUCACCAUAUUCAUUGACACCAGAUGCUGACACAGCGGGUCUAGCUAGCUAGCUUGUUCUGGGAAGCCCCUGUGUACUUUGUGAGGAAUACUGAAAUUACAGGAGGGCCACCACGCCCACUCAAGUAUUUAUGUGGCCUCUCAAGACACAAACUCCAGUGCUCACACUGGUGAGGUAAGGGUUUUCUCCACUGGGCUAUCUCCCCGGUCCCUAAAGAUAUUUAUUUUUUUAAAGAAGGAACUUAGAACCAGCCAUUUCCCAGCCUAAAGCCUUCCAGAGCAUUCUCUCAUCCUUUUAGAGCCCGGCUGCCCUCCUGUCUCUGCAGACACAUGGACUUCCUAGAUACUGUGUAACAGCGCUGGCUGUCCUGGAACUCACUCUGUAGACCAGUCUGGCCACAAACUCAGAGAUCCGCCCACCUCUGUCUCCAAAGGCUUGAGCCACCACCACUUGGACUUUCAGACACUUCUGAGACAGGGCCUCUCAUAGCCUGGGGUGGCCUUGAACUCUUGGUCCUCUUGUGUCCCACACCCAAACUUUGGGAUUGAGUAUGGGAAUGUGCCAACAUGUCCAGCUCCCCUUUCAGACUGAAAUAAAUGAGCUAGCUCUGACCAGCCAAAACUA